CACAAAGGUAAAACAGGAGGAUAGAAUAGCAGAGAGAAGGGGCAUGUGGCUUCAGCAAGUGUCAGCUACUGUUACCCAAGCAGACGUGAGAGUCAGCACAGGGCCUCUACAAGGGUGCUCUGACCAAGAGGGAGGGCAUUUUGGCAAGCAGAAAGGAAUGGUUCGCAAGGUAUCAUGGAGACUGGACACGAGCAGGAAGCAAAGGGAAGAAGAAACUCACUCAGGGCAGCUGUGGUAGCAUCUGCCUUCGUGCAGGAAGAGAGGAUGGUCCAGCUGAGUGUGGCACUGCGUGCAGAGAUCGUCCCCAGAGCAAGAGGCGCAGUCCUCCGCACAGUUCUCGCAGCUGCCACUCCUGACUGAGGGCCACGUGCCUUGGGGACAGGAGGAAACGCAAGCCUGGGCCAACAGGAUGUCACACAUGGAGCUGAUCCGCCAGCCAGGAGCCUUCCGUACCGCCCCCUGUGGAUGCACCGUUGGCUCCGCACGCACUCGAUGUGCGCCCUUCUCCUUUCCUUUCCAAGAGCAUCUGCCCCGUGGGCUUUUCCAGGACGCCCCUCUCCAGCAAUACGUGGCCGUUUCAGCGGCGGAGAGGCCUGCGUGCCCGCCUCCGUCCGCGCUGAGGGGCGUCUGAAGGCCGAAAGAGACAAUGCGUGCAAAGUGCUCCACGCAGAGGCUCAGUCAGGCGCUCCAUCUGCCGGCUCUCCUUCCCAGCCCUUGCGAGCACCUCCCUUCUGCCGCGCUCCUACCUGA
rnacentral:lncRNA from 1 species